UUAGGUUUUUUCAUAUCUUUACUUAUUUAGCAGCAGGAAAAGGACAGAGACAGCCAGGCACAGCGGCAUUCCAAAGGGCAACAUCUUUGGAUGCAAGGGCAGGGCCAAGGGCAGAGUGCUGGAAAAUGUAAGAUAGCCGAGUACAGCAGUGAUGGCAUUGGGAACAUGAUGGUUAUACACAUGACAGGAGGCGGCAAUAUCAUCUGUAUCACACAUAAUGCUUUCACUAUACAUUAACCUCUUUAAAAAUUAAUUGCAAAAAUUCUUUACACUGUUCAGACAAUUUCUCUAUGGAUAGCAGGGAACAGGGUUUGCCACAUAGUUUUCUGUCAGGCUGAGCCUACUGCCCUUUUGUGUUUUUCUCUGUGAAGUUUUUUUGUGACAAUAUCUGAUUGCCUUACACCUUGCAGAUCAUUGCUAUGCCCUUAUCCUUCAGUGGAGCGGCAAGAGUUUUUCAGAUUCCCGUUACAAAUCUCCCACUGACCAUCUGCUAUUACCACCUUAACGAGAAAUCACUUGUUGAAAGGUCAUUAAGUGGUUACAGUCCAGGACAAGGUUCCAAGCUCAUUAUAAUACUUCCUCCUCCACUACUAAGCAGUAGUGAUAAGCCAAGAGUCUUAGCUGAUAUGAUUCAGUGCAUUUCUACUAUUUCAGUAAGGUUACCUUGGUUUACAUGACAUUUAGCUUAAAAGCAUUUAGGUUAAUUUAUAUCCCAGCCUUUGGUUAAAGCGAGUUUUUGUGUGCCAUCAUUUUCACAUAGAAACUCAGGAUAAUCAAGGAAGAUUCUUUUCUAGUCUUUAUUAUUCUUUUAAUCACCAGGGAUAGGAUGUUUUAAAGAUAAUUAUGGAAUUAUCUCUAUAUAAGCUAGAGUUUUUUUCUAGCAUUCGUGGUGUGAGAAGAGGGUUUGUGUUUCUGCUCAGAGCACAGGUUUCCUGUAAAGCUACUCUGGCUUUGGAUUUACGUACCAUUUGCAGAGGAAGAUCUAUCUGCUUAAAUCUUCCAGUUCAGGUUUUGCUGAGUCAGUUUUAUACAUCAGCUUGAAGUAAGCUUCAAGCAGUGGGGCCAGAGGUAGUUCACAGCUUUUGAAAUAGUUUUUCUUCUUAAAGCAAACCUCUAUAUUUCUCUUCCCGCAUCAGGUCUUUGCUGUGAUCUGUUUCAACUAAACUAGGAGUAGUUUUGCAGCCACCCUGUUAGGGCUCUGGAUUUCAAGACAAUCUCCAAGAUAAGUGUCACAAAACAAAACAGAGCGAGGUAAGCUGUUACAGCACAUUUGUAAACAAGAAAAAGCCAAACCAAGCUGUCUCUUAUUGUAGAGACAUAUAGCAGGAGUACAAAACUGCUGUGAAAAAAAGCCUGGCAGUGUGAUUCAGAACAUAUCACUCAGGGAGACUGAUGGCCUGGCUGUACUUAGGUUUGGAAAAAAAUGUUUUGAGAGGUUCUCCUGCUGCCACAUACUCUAUUUUAGUUCUGGGGCUCAUCCUCUAAUGCCGUAUAUAUUCUGAGUAGUAAAGAAACCACCUGAUGUCCAGCUUCAUUUCAGGGAAAGGGAGGGCAUAGGUAUGAUGGGUGCUAGAAGACAAGUUUGGAUGUACUCGGAUUACUGGGAGAUAGUUCAGGGAGACACCUUGAAAGGUCAAUGUCAGGAAUGCAGAAUGCUAAUGAUGCUA
rnacentral:lncRNA from 1 species